rnacentral:lncRNA from 1 species
CGAGUCAUUUUCUCAUGGGGACUGCUGGGCGAUGACUAGGCACAGUGAGUUCCGCCGCCUUAGCUGGUACGGGCUUUGCCAUAUGAAACGAAUAAUACAAAUAUCUCAUGGUAUAUGUCGACCCAAAACGGCUUGAUCAUUAUCGACGUGGGUAUGCGUAAUGGGGGAUGGUAAAUUUAUUCAAUCUUCUGAACCGCCGAUUCGGUAGGAAAAAAUAGACUACGCUGAUCCGAUCCAAUUAUGUAUAAAAAUAACGAUGUGACCUUCAAGAAAUUCACUAUCGACUUGCUAUUCUCACGGUUCAAUUCAUCAGGAGUUCCAAUUCGCCCAAUCACAAAUUGAAAAAUACACAACUUAUUACAUAAUGAACUCUCACUCAUUGUCAGUGGUCGGGCCGGUGUAACGUAACGCUUGUAACGUUCGUUUAACGAUAUGAACAACAGACAGGUUGUGGAUAUAGACGCAUUGGCUUGCGACCGCUGCGUCAGAUAAGACCAAAAGAAUAGUUCCUUAUACAGCUACACUCGAGAUAACCAUCGGCUAUCGUGAUAGGACACUAAGGACCACCAACGAACUUUGAGUGAUCACUAGAUAGUGUAAACUUCAAUCGACGCAACGUCACAUCUCACCUUAUACAGGGUGUUGAUAAAUAAUCGUGCAAAACUCAAGGGC